UUUUUUUUUUUUUUUUUUUUUUGUCUUUGAAUUCCAGCCGGCCGGGUAAGGCCAGUCCCUCCCGCCCGGAGAGUCCCAAACCACCAUUUGACAUGUAGGCCUGCUCCCUCUGAGACUCUCUGCCUGCUCUUAGCUGUUCUGUCCUGGAGUGCUCUGACUCGAAUCUCAUGGCUUGUUUUGUUUGUAUUUCGUGGCACACACACACACGCACACACGUAUCAGAUGCCACUGUAGUGAAACUGUUUGUUUUUUUUCCUCCCAGCUGCUUAAAGGAGUUAAAACAAGUAUAUUGUAGUAAUGAGAAACAUAUCUUUACUGUUAUAAAUAUCUAUAAAUAUAUAUAUAAGAUCAAAAAAGUCUAUAUAUGUCCAGGUGUUUAAAGCCAUUUGUGCUUCCAUGUGAAUUUUAGGAAAUACUUAAGUAGGAAAAGAAUAUCUAUAUACAUGCAUAUAUAUAUGUAUAUAUUACACCUGAAAAUUAACCAAAUCCUGACGUUGAAUUUUGAGCUGAUUGUUGAAUUCUCUGCUGUGUGCAGUUGGGUUAUUGUAUUACCCCAGACUUGUGGGUGAACUGUCUCAGUGCUGGUAGUAGCUGUGAUGCAGUUUGUGAUCUACCUGUCACUCUUGAUUAUUGAAUGAAAUAAACUAUCAUUUCUGUAUAAUGAAGGACUCUAUGACUAGAAUAAAACCAUCUCUCUUGUUCUUUUU